CCUACGGGGGGCAGCAGUGGGGAAUAUUGCACAAUGGGCGAAAGCCUGAUGCAGCAACGCCGCGUGAGCGAUGAAGGCCUUCGGGUCGUAAAGCUCUGUCCUCAAGGAAGAUAAUGACGGUACUUGAGGAGGAAGCCCCGGCUAACUACGUGCCAGCAGCCGCGGUAAUACGUAGGGGGCUAGCGUUAUCCGGAAUUACUGGGCGUAAAGGGUGCGUAGGUGGUUUCUUAAGUCAGAGGUGAAAGGCUACGGCUCAACCCGGGCCGGCCGUUGAAACUGGGGAUCUUGAGUGGGCGAGAAGUAUGCGGAAUGCGUGGUGUAGCGGUGAAAUGCAUAGAUAUCACGCAGAACUCCGAUUGCGAAGGCAGCAUACCGGCGCCCGACUGACGCUGAGGCACGAAAGCGUGGGGAUCGAACAGGAUUAGAUACCCCGGUAGUC
rnacentral:rRNA from 1 species